AACGCACAUUGCGCCUCCUGGUAUUCCGGGAGGCAUGCCUGUUCGAGCGUCAUUAAAAACCACUCAAGCUCUUUUGCUUGGUAUUGGGAGAUGAGUAUACUUUUCCUAGUUUACUCACUUUCGAAAUUCAAAGGCGUAGAGCCCCACAUGCCACAGCGUAGUAAGUUUUCUUUCGCUUGGAGUGUGAGGUGAUAUUGCCACAAACCCCCAAUUAUUUUCUAGGUUGACCUCGGAUCAGGUAGGGAUACCCGCUGAACUUAA
rnacentral:misc_RNA from 1 species